rnacentral:rRNA from 1 species
UACGUAGGGGGCUAGCGUUGUCCGGAAUCAUUGGGCGUAAAGCGCGUGUAGGCGGUUCGGUAAGUCCGCUGUGAAAGUCGGGGGCUCAACCCUCGGAAGCCGGUGGAUACUGUCGAGCUAGAGUACGGAAGAGGCGAGUGGAAUUCCUGGUGUAGCGGUGAAAUGCGCAGAUAUCAGGAGGAACACCAAUGGCGAAGGCAGCUCGCUGGGACGGUACUGACGCUGAGGCGCGAAGGCGUGGGGAGCGAACGGG